AUUGAACGCUGGCGGCAUGCCUUACACAUGCAAGUCGAACGGUAACGCGGGGCAACCUGGCGACGAGUGGCGAACGGGUGAGUAAUGCAUCGGAACGUGCCCAGUAGUGGGGGAUAGCCCGGCGAAAGCCGGAUUAAUACCGCAUACGACCUACGGGUGAAAGGGGGGGAUCGCAAGGCCUCUCGCUAUUGGAGCGGCCGAUGUCAGAUUAGGUAGUUGGUGGGGUAAAGGCCCACCAAGCCGACGAUCUGUAGCUGGUCUGAGAGGACGACGAGCCACACUGGGACUGAGACACGGCCCAGACUCCUACGGGAGGCAGCAGUGGGGAAUUUUGGACAAUGGGCGCAAGCCUGAUCCAGCCAUGCCGCGUGCGGGAAGAAGGCCUUCGGGUUGUAAACCGCUUUUGUCAGGGAAGAAAUCUUUUGAGUUAAUACCUCGGAAGGAUGACGGUACCUGAAGAAUAAGCACCGGCUAACUACGUGCCAGCCGCCGCCGUAA
rnacentral:rRNA from 1 species